UACGGGGGGAGCAAGCGUUGUUCGGAUUUACUGGGCGUAAAGGGCGCGUAGGCGGCGUGUUAAGUCACUUGUGAAAUCUCUAAGCUUAACUUAGAACGGUCAAGUGAUACUGAUGUGCUAGAGUGCAGAAGGGGCAACCGGAAUUCUUGGUGUAGCGGUGAAAUGCGUAGAUAUCUGGAGGAACACCGGUGGCGAAGGCGGCAUCCUGGACCGGUAUUGACGCUGAGGCGCGAAAGCCAGGGGAGCAAACGGG
rnacentral:rRNA from 1 species